AGAGUUUGAUCCUGGCUCAGAUUAGAGUUUGAUCCCUGGCUCAGGACGAACGCUGGCGGCGUGCUUAACACAUGCAAGUCGAGCGGUAAGGCCUUUCGGGGUACACGAGCGGCGAACGUGUGAGUAACACGUGGGUGAUCUGCCCUGCACUCUGGGAUAAGCUUGGGAAACUGGGUCUAAUACCGGAUAUGGCCCCAGCAUGCAUGUGUUGUGGUGGAAAGAUUUAUCGGUGCAGGAUGGGCCCGCGGCCUAUCAGCUUGUUGGUGGGGUAAUGGCCUACCAAGGCGACGACGGGUAGCCGACCUGAGAGGGUGACCGGCCACACUGGGACUGAGACACGGCCCAGACUCCUACGGGAGGCAGCAGUGGGGAAUAUUGCACAAUCGGCGGAAGCCUG
rnacentral:rRNA from 1 species